rnacentral:rRNA from 1 species
AACGAACGCUGGCGGCAUGCCUAACACAUGCAAGUCGAACGAAACCUUCGGGUCUAUUCGCGCAUGGGUGCGUAACGCGUGGGAAUCUGCCCUCGGGUUCGGCAUAACUGUGAGAAAUUACUGCUAAUACCGGAUCAUGUCUUCUGACCAAGGAUAUAUUGCCCAGGGUUGUGCCCUCGUAGGAUUAGCUAGUGGUGUGGGUAAUGGCAUACUAAGGGGACGAUCCUUAGCUGGUCUGAGAGGAUGAUCAGACACACUGGGACUGGGACACGGCCCAGACUCCUACGGGAGGGAGCAGUGGGGGAUAUUGGAACACGGGCGCAGGCCUGAACCAGCAAGGCCGCGUGAGUGAUGAAGGCAGUAGGGUUGUAAAGCUCUUUUACCCGGGAUGAUAAUGACGGUACCGGGAGAAUAAGCUCCGGCUAACUCCGUG